CUCGCCUUCUAAACUAAUCAUUGAUAUUAUGUUGAUAGUCCUAAGUAUAAAGCUAAGCUUUAUUACAACUGUCACAUAAACUUAACAUUAACCAAGACAACUAAACAAAGACCAAUGAACCUUGAAAAUGAGGUCAAGGUCAGAUGAACCAUGCUAGGCAGACAUGUACAGCUAACAAUGCUUCUAUACAACAUAUUAUAUAGUUGACC
rnacentral:lncRNA from 1 species